rnacentral:rRNA from 1 species
GACGAACGCUGGCGGCGUGCUUAACACAUGCAAGUCGAACGGAAAGGCCCUGCUUUUGUUGGGUGCUCGAGUGGCGAACGGGUGAGUAACACGUGAGUAACCUGCCCUUGACUUUGGGAUAACUUCAGGAAACUGGGGCUAAUACCGGAUAGGAGCUCCUGCUGCAUGGUGGGGGUUGGAAAGUUUCGGCGGUUGGGGAUGGACUCGCGGCUUAUCAGCUGGUUGGUGGGGUAGUGGCUUACCAAGGCUUUGACGGGUAGCCGGCCUGAGAGGGUGACCGGCCACAUUGGGACUGAGAUACAGCCCAGACUCCUACGGGAGGCAGCAGUGGGGAAUAUUGCACAAUGGGCGGAAGCCUGAUGCAGCAACGCCGCGUGCGGGAUGACGGCCUUCGGGUUGUAAACCGCUUUCGCCUGUGACGAAGCGUGAGUGACGGUAAUGGGUAAAGAAGCACCGGCUAACUACGUG